GCAAACAAGAACAAAACCCUAAGGUUUGAUUUAUUGGAGGAGUCAUGGAUAAGAACAUGCUACAAGGUCUUGAGUCUACCUGAAGAAGACCAGAGGCGUAUGGCAGCCGUGAUCGAGCAGCUCCAAGUGCGAGACAGGUUGCUGAGAUAAGCGAAAAAUUGAAUGCCAACUUUUUCCAUUUGAGGAGGAUUUGAAGGAUAUCUAGACAGGAAAGAGAGAGCAAUGUGGUUACGCUGUGUAAAAUCAUUUUGCCACAUAGAUGAUUUGAGAAAAUCUUCUAAAUCUCCAUGGAUCUAUUUGUCUUUAUUCUCUUGUUCAGACGCUACUGACACAAAAGCAAAGUGUGCCCCUUUGCAGGAAACCAGAAUGAGAGAUAGGUUUACACUACAUGCUAAGGGAGGUGAUGGUGGCAAUGGUUGCUCCAGUUUUCGCCGAAGUCGACAUGAUCGCUGUGGCAGACCUGAUGGUGGAAAUGGUGGAAGAGGUGGUGAUGUGAUUUUGGAGUGUUCUCCUGUAAUCUGGGACUUUAGUGGUUUACACCAUCAUGUUAAUGCAGCCAGAGGGGGGAAUGGAGCUUCAAAGAGUAUGAUAGGAACUCGAGGAGAGGAUAAGGUUGUGCAAGUACCUGUCGGCACUGUAAUUCAUCUUUUGAAGGGUGAACUUCCAUCUACAGUCCAAAACUGUUCCAAAACAGACUUGGACCCGUGGGAACUUCCAGGCACUCUCCAUACCGAUCAAUCAGAAUCUCACUGGCAGUCUGUCUCUAAGAGCACAAACAUGGAAAAAGAAGCUGAGCCAUCAGAUAUUUCUUGUGGCUCAUUAACACAAGCUAAAGGAACUUCAGAGGAAUUUGCAAGCAAACAAGCCAUUCAAAGAGAGCCAGUAGGUGUGGAACAUAUACACUAUGAUGUUGCAGAGUUAACAAAACUGGGUCAGCAAAUAAUUGUUGCUCGUGGAGGGGAGGGUGGUUUGGGUAAUGUGUAUUCUCCUGAUGUUUCAAAGAAGGCCAAGUUAAGUAAGCCUGGAGUCAAUAGGGAUAUAGUCUUCGAUCGUGAUAUGUCCAGUGAGGAUCAAUCCUGCCUUAGCAGUGGGUUGCCUGGCUCAGAGGCUGUUCUUUUGCUGGAACUGAAAAGCAUUGCUGAUGUGGGCCUCGUUGGAAUGCCAAAUGCUGGUAAAAGUACUCUUUUAGGAGCUUUAUCCAGAGCAAAACCUAGGGUGGGUCAUUAUGCCUUCACGACUCUUAGGCCCAAUUUAGGAAAACUGAAGUUUGAUGACUUCUCAAUCACAGUGGCUGACAUUCCAGGACUCAUAAAAGGUGCUCACGAGAAUCGUGGACUUGGACAUGCUUUCCUACGGCACAUAGAACGUACUAAGGUUUUAGCUUAUGUGCUAGACUUGGCUGCUGGAUUAGAUGGCAGAAAGGGAUUUCCACCGUGGGAACAAUUGAAAGAUUUAGUUUUGGAGCUUGAGCAUCAUCAAGAGGGCCUGUCUGAUCGGCCCUCCUUAGUUGUGGCGAAUAAAAUUGAUGAGGCAGGGGCUGAUGAAGUAUAUGAAGAAUUGAAAAGAAGAGUUCAAGAUGUUCCUAUAUAUCCAGUUUGUGCUGUCCUGGAGGAAGGGGUACCAGAACUAAAAGCUGGUCUUAGAAUGCUUAUGGAUAGUGUGAAAUUGCAGAGACUUAGUUUAGAUAAAAUCGACUGUUCAUGACAAAUUUGAUAGGAAUACUAGUUCUGUUUAUGAUAGGUUUUACAAAAUAUUUAUGCCCAAUUGUCAAGUGAUAAGCCUCUUCGAAAUCCCUAAGAAAAUGUCUUGCUGCGGAGGAAACUGUGGCUGUGGCUCUGGAUGCAAGUGCGGCAGCGGCUGCAACGGCUGUGGCAUGUACCCUGACAUCUCAGAGAA